rnacentral:rRNA from 1 species
AUGGAGAAUGAAACCAUCUUCCUUUUGACUUGUAAUAACAUGGAAGCUUGGCACUCUCCUCCAUGUUUGGACUUGUCAGCAUUUUAUCUUAUAUUGUGGCCAUCUGAUGAUACUCUGGAGCUACCCUUGCAUUUCAACAUUUCACACACUAGUUCUUUGAUUGCCUGUGGCAUUGCCAUGGAUGCUAAUAUUGGCAUCGAUAUUGAAGAAAACAAGCGGAAGAAAACCAAGAGUAUUUUAUCUCUUGCUCGUCGUUUUUUUACCCCUUCGGGAACUGAUUAUCUCGCUGAGAUUUCUGAUUCGUAUGUUCAGGAAAAGGAAUUCUUCAAACUAUGGACUCUUAAAGAAGCAUAUGUAAAGGCUCUUGGAUUGGGUUUGUCAAGCGCUCCACUCAAUGGAUUUUCAAUCAAGUUGGAAACAAGCAAGGGAAUUUGGGUUUCUAAGGCAUCAAAAGUAUGUGACGAUUCUAACUCUAGGUGUGAUCAUUUGUCUGAGAAUUGGCUAUUUGCACUCGCAGAGCUAAAUAGUUCUCAUUACAUGGCAGUUUGUAUGGAGGAUGACUCCAGAUGUCAAGUAGGAUUAAAAGCAUGGAAGACUAUACCAUUUGUAGAAGACACACUUGUCUCUGGAACAGAAGCUGUAAAACGUAUUGCUUGA